rnacentral:rRNA from 1 species
UACGUAGGUGGCAAGCGUUGUCCGGAUUUAUUGGGUUUAAAGGGUGCGUAGGUGGUCUAUUAAGUCAGUGCUGAAAUAUCCCGGCUUAACCGGGAGGGUGGCAUUGAUACUGAUGGACUUGAGUGGAGUUGAGGUAGGCGGAAUUGACGGUGUAGCGGUGAAAUGCUUAGAUAUCGUCAAGAACACCGAUAGCGAAGGCAGCUUACCAAGCUCUAACUGACACUGAUGCACGAAAGUGUGGGGAUCAAAUAGG